UAAGACAGAGGGUGCAAACGUUGCUCGGAAUUACUGGGCGUAAAGCGCGUGUAGGUGGUCACGCAAGUCAGGUGUGAAAGCCCAGGGCUCAACCCUGGAAGUGCACAUGAUACUACGUGGCUGGAGUACUGAAGAGGAGAGCGGAAUUCCCGGUGUAGAGGUGAAAUUCGUAGAUAUCGGGAGGAACACCAGUGGCGAAGGCGGCUCUCUGGGCAGAUACUGACACUGAGACGCGAAAGCGUGGGUAGCAAACAGGAUUAGAUACCCUGGUAGUCCACGCUGUAAACGAUGAGAACUGGGUGUCGUGGGUAUUGACCCCCGCGGUGCCGAAGCCAACGCGUUAAGUUCUCCGCCUGGGAAGUACGGCCGCAAGGCUA
rnacentral:rRNA from 1 species